AAAGCAACGCUCGUGCCAUAGUGAGAUUUUAAUUAUUGUGUUUUAUAUGCUUUUUUCUGUGAUUUAUUUCUAAAUUAAAAUGAUGGUUUCAGUUGUAUUCGAAUUUAUUUUAUUUUAUGUCAAGACCCCGUUAUUGUGGAGUAAUGAAGCUAAUAUGUCAUACAUUAAUUUCACAAAUGACUAAAUAAAUAUUUAUGAUAAAUACUAUGAAAAUAAAGAAAGGAUGAAAGUUGGAGAUAGUUGAUCUAGGACCUCUCAUUUAUGUAAAAAGGAUGUUUUAAUCUUAAAGUAGUUAUCAGGGCCAGUCGAUUUUUCUCAUGAUGCCAAGUGAACGAGAAUCUGCAAAGGAUAUUGCAACAAGAGCUAAGUGGUUUGAAUUUAAAUGAUUAUCAUUAUCAAAAUUGAUGUCAAUUUAAAUGUUUGUUAUUAAAUCAUCCACAAUAGAUUAGUGAUCAGCAAUAAUUAAUGGAGCAUUAAUGCAGAAAUCAAAGCAUUAUGAUCAAAUUAAAGAAAAAAGAACGAAGAGAAAUUGACCGCUCCAGCAGCAGCAGCACCACCACCACCACCACCAUCACCACCGUCACUACCACCAGCAAUAUUACCAUCAUCACCAUCGCAACAACAGCAUCAACGGUACUACCAUAGGCAGCAACCACGAGUUUUAUGACGGCGGAUCGUAAAAAGGAAAAAUACGAAAACCGAUAAGGAUAAGAAGAAAGGGAUAGCGCGUGUUUCGUCGAAUAAGAAUUUCGUGGAAGGAUCUUUUAAAGGGUCUUCCCGUCGCGAACGAAGCAGGUGCAAUGCUCGUCCAAAAAUUGCUGACACUCGGCACACUUCAAACAGGCGGCGUGCCACUCG